rfam:Ictidomys tridecemlineatus contig060096, whole genome shotgun sequence.
GGGGUUGUGGCUCAAUGGUAGAGUGCUUGCCUAGCACGCAUGAGGCAAUGGGUUCAAUCCUCACCACCA